AAUCGAUUCAGGCCCAAAAAAGAUCAUUACACAACAUCUUUACGUCUCUCUCCUCGUUCUCAGAAAAAGGAAAUGGCGCCACGAAUGUCUCUCUGGAAAAUACUGAAAUUCAAGUUCGAAGAGGAGUAAUUGAAUGAAGACUCUUCGUUGACGGUAAGAAGGAUGCGUUUGAUCAGUAUGAAAAUGAAGAUGCAGAUACAGCUAAGGAGAACCAAUUGUAUGUUAAUGAUGUGCUGAGAUGUUUAGAAAAGGGAAAACAAAAACUAAAACAGAAUACCCUAUCUAGCACAAGGAGGGGACAUACAAGAAGGAGGGAUAGAGUUCAGCCACCAGUUAAAGACCUGGUUCUUAUAGGCAAAACUAGCUAGAGAAUGUACAACGUCAUUUGCGCUUUUCUUGGAUGGUGUCCUUCCACUCCAUUUUCCCAGCUAAUUCAUAGGCUAAGGUAAUAGCUUAUGUUUCAGCCUCCAAACGGGAGCUACAGUUAUUUAUACAAGUGCCACCACCGUCAAAGUUUGCCGCAGAAUUUCUUACCACCCAAGCACAAGCACCCGUAUUGGAGUAGUAAACGAGUUUUGAAUAUCCGGUCUAUCUUCAUAGUCAGGCAUGCUGUAGCUGUAGCUGUACUAGUAAUGUGUCUCAGGAAUGAUUCUCUGAAUAGAAGGGUUGUUGUUGUUGAAAAUCGUGUCAUUUCUGGCCUUCCAAAUGGCCCACAUGGCACAACUCCCUAAUCUGAAAGCAUUGUGGUCUCUUUUUUCUUGUAACCAGCUCAUCAUUAUUUGCUUGACAGAGGCAUUUUUCGUUAACUUGCAGACCCAAGAAUACAGCUCUGGCCACGUCGCAAUGGAGGAGAAGGCUUGAUUCAACAUCACUACUACAAAAUCUACAUUCUUGAUCAAUUCCUAUGACAAACUUGCCCAUUCUGUGUUGAGUACUGCAAUGGCAUCAUUGAGGACUCUCCAAAUGAUGAAUUUUUGGUGCCAGAUUUUUGACUUUCCAAACAUUCUCUGAUUCUUGUUAAUAAAGCAUCAUAUAGAGUUUCAGGAGCUGGUGACCUGCUAGAUAGUCAUUUGCCAUCUUUUCUGUGUGCAUCGUUCUUUCAGGAGCUGCUGACCUGCUAGAUAGUCAGCGUUGUUUGUCUGUUAAUGUGCAACACUUGGAGCUGAAAACAUACAUUCAGAAAACUGCCGUCAUUCAAUAGCAGACUUACUGAUAAACUCCGCUCAUGCAAGCUCUUUGCAUGGUAAUAAAGGUAUACAAUACUAUACAUUCUCAUUGGUAAAGUUUGGUUUCUUUGAAAUUCCUACUCAUAAGUCAUUCCAUGCUUUAAAAUUUUUAAUUCGGGUUAUGCAAGAUAAAGCUGUAUUUUGAUUUGAAACAUGUUAGCCCAUAAUAGAAUGUUAUUUGAAAAAUCAGCAUUUGAAGAAGAAACCUGUCACCAAAACCUCCCCCUUGCCCUCAUCUUAAAAUUACCUAUAGCCACCAGCAACUCUCAAGAUGAAUUGACCUGCUUUAUAAUCUUUCAGUUAUUACAUUAUCCAGAAACUUUCAAAUGGGAAUGCACGAUAAGCAUCAUUUUUCUUUUUUCUUCUUAAUUGAGAACUCAAUAGCAUUUCCAAAAGCCCAGUUGUUCAGCUCUUGCUUAGACAUCAGAUUUUACAUCUGAAGAAGUAAGUUUUGUGAUAAGAUAAUUAUCAGCUUUUAGUUCUGCUGAUUGUUUGUAUACUCAAAUCUAGCUCCUGCUAAGAUGUUACAUGCGAUUUUAACCUUGAGGUGAAUUUUGUUAGAACCCCUAUAAGUUUUGUGCCCUUAUUGUUGAUAUACUCCAUUGUCCUCUUGUCUUAGGCCUUUUUCUUUUCUUUUAGUAACAAAAUAUAACCAAUGUUUCAACAUUCUGGACUGAUCUAUGUUAGUGCACUUCUAUUUAUUGUUCCACACCGGAAUAUGAUUUAUGAUUAGUAUGGACUGUGUAUGCACAUCUUCAUAUUAUAUUCCAGUGUCUUCUAUAUUUCAGUUGGACACUUUCUUGGACAUUUUUUUUCCUGGCGCACUAUCUUGCUCCCCCUAUACGACAAGCAGAGGCAGCCAUAAGCCAACUGUAUACAUUUGUUAAGAUGCAGAGUUGUAACCUUCUAUUAGACUAAACCAGAAGGAUUACUGAAAUGCAGCUUCAUUGUACUUCCUGUUUGGCACCUGAGGAAGACAUCUAAUGCUGUCAGUCAUUUUGAUAUGCUAGAUAACAUGUCACUAUCAUUUUCAUAAAGGGGAAUGUAAAAGCAAACAUGCUAUAUUAGUAUGUCUAGCUGUGAGCAACUAAGGGGUUUAGGAAUGACUCUUCUAGAAGCAUCAAAAGAAUAAUCAGAUGUGGGGUAGAACAUGAGAAAAGUAGGAGACCUUCUAGAAAGGAAGAGCUUCUAGAAAGAGGACCGAGGGUUGUUCAUAUAAGUGUAUGCACGGAGCCCACUUCCACCCUAUCCAAAUGCAGAGAGGGUGACUUUUCUACCGUUGGAUCCCCUGUCGGUGUACACUUUUGUUCCUGUUUUUGUUUGUUUUCUCUUUUUUAAGCGAUGGAAUGAGACCACUGAUUAAAUAAAUAUCUUUAACUACUGUGC